UAGGGAAUCUUCGGCAAUGGGGGGAACCCUGACCGAGCAACGCCGCGUGAGUGAAGAAGGUUUUCGGAUCGUAAAGCUCUGUUGUUAAGGAAGAACGAGUGUGAGAAUGGAAAGUUCAUACUGUGACGGUACUUAACCAGAAAGGGACGGCUAACUACGUGCCAGCAGCCGCGGUAAUACGUAGGUGGCAAGCGUUGUCCGGAUUUAUUGGGCGUAAAGCGAGCGCAGGCGGUCAAUUAAGUCUGAUGUGAAAGCCACCGGCUCAACCGGGGAGGGUCAUUGGAAACUGGUUGACUUGAGUGCAGAAGAGGAGAGGGGAAUUCCAUGUGUGGCGGUGAAAUGCGUAGAUAUAUGGAGGAACACCAGUGGCGAAGGCGACUCUCUGGUCUGUAACUGACGCUGAGGCUCGAAAGCGUGGGUAGCAAACAGG
rnacentral:rRNA from 1 species